GCUUUUCUAGACCUAAGGGAUAAUGUUUGCUUUAUAAUCCUUGUUUUAUGUUCUAAAACAUGUCAAAGCGCUAACGGAAUUAGCCCCAGAGCAUUUCAGAGUGCUGUAAAACCAAUCAAAAAGAAGUUGGGAGAUUACAUAUUACAUAUUUGAAUAAUCUAAUAAUUCAUGUAAUUAAACAAUCAAGGCAUUUAAACACUUGUGGGGAGGGGAGGGAGGGAGAGGCAAGCAGGGAGGCAGACAAGCAGGGAGGCAGACAAGCAGGGAGGCAGACAAGCAGGGAGGCAGACAAGCAGGGAGGCAGACAAGCAGGGAGGCAGACAAGCAGGGAGACAGACAAGCAGGGAAGCAGACAAGCAGGGAAGCAGACAAGCAGGGAGACAGACAAGCAGGGAGGCAGACAAGCAGGGAGGCAGACAAGCAGGGAGGCAGACAAGCGGGUGGGAGACGGGCAGGGAGUCAAGGAGAGGCAGACAGGCAGGGAGAGGCAGACAAGCAGGUGGGAGACAGGCAGGGAGUCAAGGAGAGGCAGACAGGCAGGGAGAGGCAGACAAGCAGGUGGGAGACAAGCAGGGAGGCAGGGAUGGGGGCGAGCACGGAGGGAGGCGUGCAGGGAGGCA
ensembl:lncRNA